GCUGCUUGCUCAUCGGCUAGGCUCAGCGUCAAUGGCGGCUUCUACGACUUCGGGUACUAGCUCACCGAGUCAUCGGCCAUGGGCGGCGUCGGGCCGGUGUCCAGCCUCGGUUUUCUCUAGAUUGACGAGAGAGUUGAUUGAUUGUUCUUCGGGCAUCCCAUUGGCUCCGUACGUGGUCCCUACUUCUUCGGACGGAGGCUCAGGGAUGUAUGGAAUCUAGGUGCAGCCGUUUGGAGACGGUAGCACGGGAGUUAUUUAACCGGUUUGGAUGGCGCGCAGGUCUUAAGCCGGAAGGAUUUUGAUGUUUUCCUUUCACUCUCUGUUCUUUAUCUUUUGUAAUUCGGAAACAUGUACUUUAAAUACUUUUAAUAAUUUAUGGCUGUAUGCAUCGCUCGAUGCAGAGACCGGGGGAAGUCCUCCUUUUCGAAAAAAAUUUGCAUAUUUGUAAGAACCUCA